rnacentral:lncRNA from 1 species
AAAACAUGUAUUUCUAAACAUUUAAAAACGUUUUUAGAAAAAAAUGUAAAUGGCAUGUAAGCUGAACCGUUAAAAUUAAAACCGUUAAGAUCGCCGCAAGGGAGUGCUGCGGUUGGCUGUGCCCCCCGUGAGGGAGCACCACGAUCGUCGCGAGAGAGUGAUGCAGUCGGCUGUGCCCCGUGUCAGGGAGCACCACGAUCAGCGCGAGGGAGCGCUGUGGUCGGCUGUGCCCCACGUGAGGGAGCACCACGAUCGGCGUGAGGGAGCACGACGAUCGGCUCGAGGGAGUGCUGUGGUCGGCUGUGCCCCACGUGAGGGAGCACCACGAUCGGCGUGAGGGAGCACCACGAUCGGCGAGAGGGAGCACGACGAUCGGCUCGAGGGAGUGCUGUGAUCGGCUGUGCCCCACGUGAGGGAGCACCACGAUCGGCGUGAGGGAGCACCACGAUCGGCGUGAGGGAGCACCACGAUCGGCGUGAGGGAGCACCACGAUCGGCGCGAGGGAGUGCUGUGGUCGGCUGUGCCCCACGUGAGGGACCACCACGAUCGGCUCGAGGGAGCGCCACGGUCGGCCGCGUGAAAGACAGCUCUAGUCCCUACCAUGAUGUCAGCCAUGAUGUCAUGCUCGAACCCUCUCACACCUCACCAUCAAUCUGGACACAGCAGAACAGCUUCUUAAUCUUCAUUUCACUGCUCAGAAAAGAACGACUGUACCCCCCAGUUACUCUUCAGCUCAGGGCAAAAGUGCAACUCCAUUUUAUUAAACUGCAGAAUCUGAUAUCAGUGAGGGUUUUUAUGAGAUGAGAACACAUAGAGAACAGAAGUCAGCACACAGGAGUCUUUUAUGGUUUUGUAAAGGAGGUAGAAUGAAGACGUUUGCAAAUAAUUUUAGUCCUUAGUUAAUAUCAUGUCUGUGUGUUAGGUGCAUGGCAGUUUACUAUUACUACAGCGUUAAAAUUGUCUCAUUGAUGUUGGAACACAUAAAAAAAGGGUCAGAAGUGUAACUGUUGGAAAUUCCCUGGGAGCAGGUAAAAAACUACAAAGACCAUAAUCCUUUGCAGCGGGAUAAGGUGGGGCCCAGAGUUUAAAAGAUUGCUGUCGGACAUUUUUAUUUUCUCUGUUUCGCAUGGUUUGGAAUGAGGAGUGGGCUUCCAUUGAAUGUGUUUUUGUUUAAGUUUUUUGAUCUAUUACUUUAUUACUAAUUUAUGUUAAUUUGUCCAUUUUGAUUGUGAUUGUUUCUAUUGUUUGCUCACUUGGUUUGUAGUUCCUUUGUUGCACUGUUUGUAUUGUUUUACUGAUCUUAAAAUGUUUGUGUAUUAGAUCAUCCAUCCAUCCAUCCAUCCAUCCAUCCAUCCAAUAUCUGCUCUGCAUCAUUGUAAAAGACACUGCAUCAGUUGAAGUCUGCUCAUCUUCCUGUGUUUUAAUGGACACACCAUCACGACAACCACCCUUCCAAAUAAAUUCCAAUAAAACUUUACA